rnacentral:rRNA from 1 species
UCCAUGAUUUAAAUAGCCGCAGUAUUUUAACUGUGCUAAGGUAGCAUAGUAAUUUGUCUUAUAAUUGAAGGCUGGUAUAAACGAGAGGUCGACUUCGCGUCUUUCCUGGUGCGCGAGAUAAAAAUUAAUAUUUACGUGAAAAAGCGUAACUACCCGAAAAGACGAUAAGACCCCGUAAAGCUUCAUCAAAAUUUUUAUGCUAAAUUUAAAAUUUAUUGGCAAAGAAUAAUCGAUUGAGCUGGGGCGGCAAACAAGUUACUUCGUUAGUUCAAACACCAUAAGUGAAAAAUAAGAUCUCACUAAGAUAUAGAAUAAGUUACUUCGGGGAUAACAGCACAAUUUUUUCCAAUAGACCGCAUAGAAGGAAAAGACUUGUGACCUCGAUGUUGAAUUGAAGAGCCUCGCUUGAGCAGAAAUAAGCAGAGGGAGUCUGUUCGACUUUUAAUUCUUC